rnacentral:rRNA from 13 species
GAGCUGGGUUCAGAACGUCGUGAGACAGUUCGGUCCCUAUCUGUUGUGGGCGUAAGAAGUUUGAGAGGACCUGACCUUAGUACGAGAGGACCGGGUUGGACGAACCGCUGGUGUACCGGUUGUGGUGCCAACUGCACUGCCGGGUAGCUACGUUCGGAAGAGAUAAGCGCUGAAAGCAUCUAAGUGCGAAACUCCCCUCAAGAUGAGACUUCUUUAAAGGGACGUCAAAGACUAUGACGUUGAUAGGCUGCAGGUGUAAAGCUAGAGAUAGCAAAGCUGAGCAG